AGGGAAAAUCUUAAAGCUUAAAUUUACAUAUGGGAAACCUUGUGUCAGAUUGGGAAACUUUGUGUCAAGCGUUUGUCUUUAAAUGACUACCUCUUUCUAAUUAUAAAAUAAACCCAUACAAUCGAAUCAGCAUAUUUUAAAAAAAUACUUUUAAAAAUGUAAAUUAGAGUGAAAUAUUAUAUUUUGCUCCUGGAUAAAUGCAAGGUCUGCGAUCACUGUCUAUUAAGACUUGAUUUUUCCAUACUAUUUCAGUGAAUUGUUUUCACUUCCUCUUGUAGACAGAAAUUAGAGAUUUCUGUCCCGGAAGUCUGAGCUCGAAAACGAGGUAAGAGCACUCUAACGUUUAUGUCUUCUACCUAGUAUGCAAGCGUUUAAUUACGGUAGUAUUUCGACCACAAGACUGAAGUCGCCGGCGUUGUACGUCAUUUCGAGCUAAUAGACUCGAUCGAAAAAGAACUUGCGCGCUCCCUGCUGGGUGUCCUAUUCGGAAAUGCUAAAUGGCAGCAAAGGGACUCUUAAGAACAAAAAGCAGGAAACGAGAGAGAGCUACGAUCCAGACUCCAAGAUUUGGAAUGCAAGGGGCUAUAUGGAAUACAACCUUUAGGAAUAUAGUUUGGACUGUUUCAAGAGAAGGAAGUGCAAGAUCCUGACUGGGCAUCACCAUGUAGUUAUAAACAAGCCUCGCUGAGGUACAGCUUCAGCCUGCUGGGAUAUGCUGGCUUCUCUGGUGAGGUAAAAAGAUUAAAUUGCAACCAGUUUUUUUUAAAAAAAAUAUACCACUUAAAUGUAAUUCUUUUACUUGGAAAGCAUUGCAACCUUAUAAAUGGAGUUUAAUGUGAUGGUUAUAUGACAACUUUUAAACUCUUCACAAGACACAGUUUGUAUCAAACAAGUUAGGGUUUUUUUUACAUUUAUAAAGCUCCUUUUUUGCAUUUGCAACCAGAAAGCUCAAAUGACCAGUUUAUCAAAAAUUGAUUUAUUGUGAGUCCCAAAGGCCAAAACCCCAUUUAGAGCCACACUGGUUUAAUAUUUUAUGAGAGAGUAUUGCCAAAUUGUUUUCCACAUUCUCUUUAUUGUUAAAUCUAUAAAUUAUGGUAUGGAGAAAUGAAUAGUGCUUAUUUCCCUAUUUUUUUUAAUUGGAAACAAUAUUUUAAGAAGCCAUCACAGCUUUCUAAGGAUUGGUCAUAAGAGCACUUUGUAGCAAGUAUCCUUUUCAAGCAGAAUACAUUUCAAAUGUAAAACACCUAGAUGCUGAAUUGUGUGUGAAUGCACUAGAAUUCUAAUUAGUUUUGCUAAUAACAGGGGCAUUAUUUUUGAUAAACUGUAAUCUCAGCUCAUGUGAACAAGUUUGAAAAAGUAACAGAUCUAGAUCUCUUCCAAAUUGUUUGGAAAAGAUUUAGUCAGACAGCCCCAUUAUGGUUUACUGAUGAACAACAAUGUCCUGGUGCACACUACUUAAAAUAUAGGUUUGCUUCAUCUGCAAGUAGGCAACAUUAAUAAUAAAUUAUAGGUAGCUCUAUCAGUGGAUUAUUCAGCAUAUCUAAAUCAUGCCCUCUGCUUUAUUCCUCUCAGGAAGAAAGCCAAAGGAAAAAAAUGCAAAUAUACUGCAUUUUAUUUGAGACAUUUGUUCCACAAAAAUUCCAAACUUUUCUUUGGACAAAAAAGCUUACAAAAUAGGUAACUACCACAAAACACAACAGUCUGCUCUUUUUUCUUAUUUUGUAUGUCAUGCAAUGCAAUGCAAAAUUAGUGAUACUAAUUUCUAAUUAGUUCAAUUAUGGAUUAUUGGGGAUUUUCUUCUUUUUAUAUAAUUGCCACUUCCUCUCUUAGAAUGGGAGGGAAUAUUUAAAGGUGCUUACCCAAAUCAAGAUCACAGAAAUCUCUACAGGUAUGAAGGACUUUGAAAGGUUUACCGCCUACCUAAGGGUAUGGGCUCCUUACCUUGUUCACUGAUCAAUGUUUACAUAUUCCCCUUUGUGCCCUUUUGAUAUUAGGAACUUCUAAUAAUUUAUGGAGGUAGGAAAGAUAAUUUAAGCCUGAAAUUAACUGCAUUUUAAAUUUGAUCAAAAAGAACAUUUAUGUUGCCCCAAUAACAAAGGUUAUUAUGACCAACAAAUGAACAUCACUGGAUUUAUAGCUGAAACUGCUGAAUAUGCUGAAAUGUCUUAAUUAAACUGUUAGAAACAAAAUCCAGUAUUCACAAACUAUGGCAUUUUAUUUCAGAGGCCUUUGCUUACAUUUGUACAAUAUAUUACAUAAUUCCAUUGUCUGCAGAACCUAAUAUAUAUUUUAUAGCUUUUCUUUAUAUGCCUUUCCUUCAAUGUUUGUCAACAAUUUUUACAGUCCUGUACAUAUCUGAAGAGUUUGAAACCAUUUUCAAUAAAAUCAGUUACCUUUAAACACACACUACUAAGACUGAAAAUGCUUUUCUUAGAAAAGUCAAAUGUAAAGAUUCGGACACUCUAGCAUCUACAAACAGAAUGUUUGAAAUUCUUACAUGUUGUAUUGCCAGAAAAAGAAAAAAGAAAAAAACAUGCCAGCCCCCAUAAGCCCAGCCAAAAGAAGUACACAGAACUACAAUUAAAACAGUAAAACAAUCUGUACAGUAAAGUACUGUGUAUUAACAGUGCCAGGUAUUAAAUAGCUCGAAUGAACACUCCCGCAAUAUACAAAUGUCUUACAAAGUUGUGUAAUUAAAUACAAGUGCCAAACGAGAGGGCAUGGGUUCCAUACAACAUAAAGUCAAUAGAAGUGAAAACAGCUGAGUUGAUUUUGGAUUUUAUACAAGGUAAUUAAAAAAAAAAUCAUUUCAACCACUCUGUUAGCUAUUUAUAUUAUAAACAACUAUCCUUUUGUGGCAAUGUUCUUCUCAACAAUGACUUAAUAUUAACACCCUUUACUCCUUCUUGAAGACCUCUCAAUUGCAGCUCAUAAUAAAAUAAGCAUUACUAAUGAAAUAUUGUUUGCUUUAACUGAAAAGAAACUUUUACAAGAAAACACAAAAAUAUAAGUGUUAUAAUUCAUUAUGAAUAAAUAUACACUUUAAACUGGCUAAAUACAAUCUUUGUACAUUAAGAUUUAAUACAGUUUGUUAGCCGUUUUCUUCCUUUUUCACAAUUUAUCAAAAUUAAAAAAAAUACUGAUUCGUAGAAAAAUGGCGAAGUACAGUAGUUUCAUUCCAAUUCAUGGGCUAUCAAAAACCCACGAUAACCUAUUUUGCCUAAUUCAAACCUGUAAACAUUAGUCAGCCUUUUAAACAGAAUCCUUAUAUUUGGUUGUCAAUCUGAUGAAAAACAUCCUGUUAACGGCAGGUUUGGAACUGAAUUACCUGUGCUUGACUUGUACAGUUAUAGUCACCAUUAAGGCAACAGUUAAAAAACAAUUAUCUUGUAAAAAUGAAAAUAGGCUCAUUUUUCCUAAAGAAUGGAAAAAUAUCAAAUGUUCCAGCUUUAACAAAAUACCAGGGAAUACGUGAACAGUAAGCCACUUUAAUGUUUUAAUUUGGCCUACCCAACAACUGCACGCUUACCACAUUGAUUCUACUGGCAGUGAACAACUUCCAUUUGCCACAGUGGAAGGCCUUCAAUUCAUUCAACAUACAAUUCCCAGACAAGUUGGAAACAAUUAUUGCUUGAGGAAAAGCAGUCUUUUGUACUUUUUCUUCAUAAAAGUGCACUUAAGUGCAAAGUUAGCUUGUCAAGAUUUUUUUUAAAUACAAAAUAGUGCUUGUCUGAAUUUUGUGCCACUGUGCAGUAUAAAAAGUGGC